rnacentral:rRNA from 1 species
AAUAUUGCACAAUGGGCGCAAGCCUGAUGCAGCCAUGCCGCGUGUAUGAAGAAGGCCUUCGGGUUGUAAAGUACUUUCAGCAGUGAGGAAGGUGGGUAUGUUAAUAGCAUAUUCAUUUGACGUUAGCUGCAGAAGAAGCACCGGCUAACUCCGUGCCAGCAGCCGCGGUAAUACGGAGGGUGCGAGCGUUAAUCGGAAUUACUGGGCGUAAAGCGCAUGCAGGUGGUUGUUAAGUCAGAUGUGAAAGCCCGGGGCUCAACCUCGGAAUUGCAUUUGAAACUGGCAAACUAGAGUACUGUAGAGGGGGUAGAAUUUCAGGUGUAGCGGUGAAAUGCGUAGAGAUCUGAAGGAAUACCGGUGGCGAAGGCGGCCCCCUGGACAGAUACUGACACUCAGAUGCGAAAGCGUGGGGAGCAAACAGGAUUAUAUACCCUGGUAG